CUGCUCGUUGAAGACGCCGGCACAAACAUCACGUGCAUGACCUGAAGAACAACGAAGGGGUUCCAGUUCACCCAGGGCUAUUUUAUCUGUCCAGACCACAAGAUCUUAAAAAGCAAGGUGGACUCUUGUCCUGGAGCACGGGAAUGUAUUAAGGAGACUGGAGACGUCGGAUGUUUGGGAAGCCUUAUCUCGGCAGCACCUGGAAGAAGCCUAGAAAUCAGUUUUAUGUGAACCCCGUGGAAGAGCGAGCUCCGAGCGCAGCAGGUUUCUCAGUCAUCCCGAGCAGAGAGACCAGGGGCUGGUGUGACGGCACCGUAAGUGUACUCCACCCAGGAGACCUGGGGCAGCCAGAAAUGUGAACCACACAGAGGCAGGGGGCCGCUGUCGGAUGGCUGCUGGCACCUCUUGCUUUGGCUCCUCUCCAGCCCCCUCCUGCCGAGCAGGGGCUCGCUCCGGCGCUGCAGAUGGAUUUGCUGAGCACCACACAUUUACAAGGCACAGCGUGGUUUGCAGACCUGGAGGGAAAAAAAAAAAAGAACCCAGCAGAUGUUCAAAGCUUCUAAGUUGUCUGUUGGCACCGACGCGCAGUGCCUUCAUAGUCUCUAUUCCUCGGAGCCUGGAGUAAGACAAGCUAGAUGACAUGAAAUCCGGUGUCUUGGGUGUCUUUAGACACAGUGUAAGAGGCAAGGACUGAGGAAUAGCUACCGUAAGUAGGAUGAGUACAACAAAUCCUCUUACAUAUUUAAAAGUAUUGUUUGAAGGUGAUAAACUGCCUUCAUGCCCAAGCUUGUGUUAUUUCAACAACAAGAAACAGGUCUGGUCGAGGUUUCCAGCCUCACUUUUAUUUAAGGUGAGCCACGAGCCAGCACCUAGAGGCAGGGUUUCUUCUCGUGCUUAUGCAGCUUCUGACAGUGUUAGACCCUUCUGCAGCUCCAGAGGGAGCGUCUCUUUCCUCAUGCUUGUUUCAGCGCCCAGUUCAGUUAAUGGAUUGAGAUAACACAAAUUUCUGUGCCCAGCAGAAGCCCCAAACCAGCCCCUAACGAUGCACCAGAUAUUCAGAAGCUCAACACUUGAAGGAUAUUAAAUGACUAAAAGCUCCCAGCGUGCAGCUGUGAUACCUUCCAGGCAUAAAGAGGACUUGAAAUUCACAGUCAUUUUCUUUGUGUGAAUAGCAAGGUGAACUUUGCUUCCAAUUUCAGCAUUUAAUACACGGCAAAUUCAGAUUCUCUGUAGCCUGGGAGGAGUGCGAUUGAGUUAAAUCACAUUCCACAUACAAAAAAUACUAAGAUAAUAUUGUUUCCAACAUUGAUGCCCAACAUUUACCAAGCUAUCUCUAUAAGAAUUAGAUUGAACAAUACAUUCUAGGCCAAAAUCAAAUUAUGACUAAUUUUUAAGGGGCCACCAGCUUGGCAAAGAGCUCAGUAAUGACCCAGUACGUGUUUCUAAAAGCUGUGACUGGGGAUUCCAAAGGUAUAAUCAUGUCUCCAUUGGUACCUUCUCAGACUUUUCUUCAAUGUAAUAACAGAAAAGAACACAUCAGCUGUAGGAACUCCGCAGAAAUAAAAUGCUGGUUAUUGCUGGGGUCUGUACAAAUGGGGGUUCUCACAAGCCCGAGUUAUUUGAGCCAGGAUGUUGGUGUUAGUAACUGCUUUUGGAAAGACAUUUGUGCCCUGGAGAGAGCAGCUUGAAAAACAGAUGUUUGGCAGCAAUUCGUGGCUGUAGGGCUUUGUUGCCAAAACUGACGCAAGUGUGCCACCUGUACAAGAUCUCCUAUCUCUUAUACUUCAUGCUUCUGCCCAGUGAGAAGACAGGAGCCACUGUGUCCCCAGGGCAGAAGAGAAACAUCAAGCAACUGUGAAGUGGAUUCCCUUUCUUCUUUUUUCUUCCUUUUCCCUUCAGCUACUCUUUGCCUUUAGGUGAAUGCAAACUUUAGGUGGCUUUAACAGCUUGGAUGAUGUGCCCUUAGAGUCAGCAUCCAGGGACAAGCCAACAUGGACUGUAAGGACAUUUCUGCAGAUGUCAGAGUUGGGGAGUUGGAAAUCUUCCCAAACAUGGCACUGGGAUGCCCAACACUGCAGCCAUCCCCGCUCCUCCUGGCGGGCCAACUACUGGAUGCAACACAGUCAGCAAGGACACAGCAUGGUCCUCUCACUGCCCACAGCCAUUCCACACAGCUUUAUUGACCUCUGGGCUCUGGAGGCCCACCACAGCUGGCUCUGGGAGACAAAAGCUACAAGUGCUCUUCAGCAAUGUCUCCUCAGGCUGAUCCCUCCUGACAGGGCACCACUGCGGCACCGCCAUGUCACACUGUGAUGUCCCCGCUAUGCAGCACGGGCAUCACAAUGGCACCU